UUUAUGAUCACUCCAACAUCUAGACGAUCGAAUCUCAUCAACGUUAGCAUGCUAUCGAAGACGAGGUAACCAUCAGAAGCCAGGUGACUAGCCCGAAAGGGUAUCCGCUGCAAACCUCAAUCCCGGUCACUACAUUUAUCAAGGUCUAUAACACUUUUCCGAAGAAAAGUCACCUUCCCUCAAUAUUUAUAUAUAACCAAAAUUGAUGCUAACCUGUAAGUAAGGAAGUGCACCAGAAAGGACACGAGAAACUCGCACCCAAAAGGCUGAUUACCCGCCGGUACGACUG
rnacentral:rRNA from 1 species